GCGGGAAGACCACGCGAAGCCGUGACCGAGGGCUCCCGAGAGCAGGGCCCGAGACAGCGCCCCUGCGGAGUUCCUGGGAGCGGGCGGGGGAGGGGCUCCCACGUCUGGACAGGGGAACCCCACAAUCUGGGUCUGCAAGGUUCUAUGCACACUCCUAAGACUCAGCAAGAUGCUGGAGACAAAACUGCACAACAUUUGAGAGAUUUCUAUUUUUAAACAGCCAUUGAUUGGGGGGGGGAGGGAAAAAAGGCCAAUUAUGGUUCCCUUAAUGACAUCAGAAACUCGCCAGGCCACCCAGCACCCCGAUCUGGGACGGGAGAGGCAGCGUGAGACAAAGGCUGUCACGACACGUAGGUGAACCAAGUGUACACGUCUCGAAGAUACCACCAAAUUUUUAGAAAUGGCCACAGUGCCAGAGAAAACCAAGCUACCAUAGGCAGGAUAAGUUCUGAAAAACAGGUCCUGUUUCUAUUUAUAAAGCCGCAGGAGUGAAAAUACGAGAGCUAAGCUCACAGACUUGGCUAAUGAGAGAGUAGUGCUUGAAGCUGGGGGGCAGGGGGCACACCAUGCCAUUUUAUAUAAACAGGGUUGGCACUUUAUUCAGGGAUUGCAUAUAGAGGUCUAUCUUCAAAUACAUUUUGAAUAAACCAAAGAAAACACUGGAAGCCACAGAAGCAGAAGAGCAGAGGACUUUCAGAGAAAACUCCAGAAUCGUAACGAAGAGAAAUGCUGGAGAACAUGGUGUAAAAUGUGAAUUUUAUGUGGAGAAAGUGACAAAGUAUUCACCACACACACACACUCCUACAACUCAAUAAGAAAAAGACCCCCAAAGAAAACGGGCAGAUGACACAAAGAGCUUCGGAGAAAGGAAGCUGUGGCUCACUGAGGUAUGGCUCAAGU